AUAUCUGAACAGCAGCAGACGGUAAUUAGCCUUCAGGUGGUGAACAUGAUGUAGUCUACAUAGAACUCAAAAUAUAACGAUGUGCAUCUGAAAUUUAUAUAAUGUUAUAAACCAAUGUUACUUCAAUA